GACGAACCGUGCGAACGUUAUUCGGAAUCACUGGGCUUAAAGGGUGCGUAGGCGGGCUCGUUAGUCAGGGGUGAAAUCCCACGGCCCAACCGUGGAAGUGCCUCUGAUACUGCGGGCCUCGAGGGGGAUAGGGGCGUGCGGAACUCAGGGUGGAGCGGUGAAAUGCGUAGAUAUCCUGAGGAACACCGGUGGCGAAAGCGGCGCGCUGGAUCCCUUCUGACGCUGAGGCACGAAAGCGUGGGGAGCAAACAGG
rnacentral:rRNA from 1 species